rnacentral:lncRNA from 1 species
AUUUUUUUAAAAUUGCUUAAGUAUGGUAUUAAGUAUAUACAUAUAUAUAUAUAUAUAUAUAUAUAUAUACAUAUAUGUAUUUACUUAGACUGCAAAUUUACUGAUUUUUUGUAAUUUGGGCAAUACCAAAAAAAAAAAUAAAACAAAAAUAAGCAUGACAAAAGCAUAGUAAAAUAAUAAAAAAAAAAAAAAAAACAUUCGAAUUUAUAAUAUGGUACAGUGAGGCCAGUGCAAUACAAUACGAUACAGCAAAUAAAAAAAAAAUUAUAAAAAAAUAAAAAUUACUAUAAAUAAUUAUCUGUAUAUCGAUCUAUCUACUUGGCUAUUUAUCUACUUAUUUAUUGAUUUGUAUACCUAUCUAUCUAUAUAUCCGCCUAGCUAUAUAAUAAUAUAUUUUUAUAAGUUAACACUUUAAACAAUUCAAAUAAUGUUACGUAAAACAGAAAUAAGUAAUAAAUGAACUAUACGAAAUAUACGAACUAUACCAAACAAAAUUACGAAUUAACAAAAAAUAGUCAAAAAAAAAAAAAAAAAAGUCGAAAAUAAAUUAAGAGAAAAUUUAACAGAGUAAAUGAAAAAGAUUAAUUAAAUGCGAUUUUUUUUUUUUUUUUUUUUUUUACUCAUAUAUUAGUGAUCACUUAUAAGAUUGUUUUACCGCUUUUAAUCAUUUAUGUACCUACUUAUGUAUGUAUGUAUGAAUGUGCCUAUAUUUAACUUUUCUUUUUCAUUCCGCACUUUUGUUAUGACCACAUAACAAAGACAAUAUGAUAAUUUCUGCAUUACUCCGAAACAUAGAAAUACAUGAAAAUGUAAAUAAAAAUUAUACAAAGGAUCGAGUAAUAAAAUGUUAUAAUAUACCACCUACCGUUAAUGAGGGUAUUUUCCAAUUUAUACUUUUAUUUUUAAAUAACAAAUCUUAUGAAAUAAAAAAAGUGAUACGUCCAAUAUGUGAAGAAACGAAUGUAUACCCAUGGAAAAUAAUAUGUAAUGAUGAAUUAGCCAGUUUUUUAUUAAAAGUAAAAAAAAUUAUUAUUUAUGAUUAUUCAAAAGAAAAAAAAAAAAUUUUUGUAAAGUUGGAAAAAAAAUGUGUUUAUAAUGAACAAGAGGGUCAAAGUAAUGGCUCACAUGAGCUUUAUCAUAAUAAGUCCAUAAAAAGUGAAAAACAAAAGGAAGGACAAAAUAGGGGAGAAAUGGAAACCACACAAGAAGGGACAAAAGAAAGUACAUCCGAAAGCAUAUCAGAAAGCACAUCAGAAGGCACAUCAGAAAGCAUAACAGAAGGGACAAAAAAAGAAUCAAGAGAGGACUUAAAAGAAGACUUAAGAGAGGACUUAAAAGAAGACUUAAGAGAGGAAUUAAGAGAGGAAUUAAGAGAGGACUUAAAAGAGGAAUUAAAAGAGGAAUUAAGAGAAGACCUGUCAUAUCAUAACUCAUAUAACCACAAUAAAAAUGAUACUUUUAUCAGUAAACAACAAAAUUUGAAUAUAAAAUUGGGAUUAAAUUCCGAUUCCAACUUAGUUUUUAAUGUAUCCCACAACAUAGUUCCCAGUUUAAACGAUGGAGUAGAUGGACAUAGUAUUAUAAAUAAAGAAAAAAAUCGUAAAAAUUUAGGUAAAAAUUUUAUUUUAAUGGAUGAGAAUGAAAAAAGUAUAUAUAAUGAAUAUAUGAAGAAUGUUAUAAAACCAAAACAAAAUUUAGUAUUUAAAAACGAUGAUGAUAAUAAAUUUUAUGAAAAAAAAGAAGAGUACUAUAAUAGAGAUAUUGUACAUAAAGAUGAAGUAGAAUAUUGUGUAUGUCAGGAAGGGGAUAGUGAAUAUUGUGCAUGUUAUGAAGGGGAUAGUGAAAAUUGUUGUGAUACAAGUCAUGACGAGUUAAGUCAUGACGAGUUAAGUCAUGACGAAUUAAGUUAUGACGAAUUAAGUUAUGACAACCUUAAUUAUGACAACCUUAAUUAUGAUAAGUUUAAUUGUGAUAAGUUUAAUUGUGACAACGUAAAUGAAGGUGAGAAAGAAAAUGGUAGAACAAAAAUAUAUUAUAAAAAAAAUACAUACUGUGUUAGUAAUAUUAAUAAAGUUAACGAAUUUAAAGAAAAAAAUGAUGGAAAAAAUGAAAAUAUAGCUUACAAUGAUGAAAAUAAUAAAAGUUCAUUUUUACCUUCUCGUCCUUACUUUCAGUCUUUUGAUCAUUCUUUAUGUCAUUCAUAUGAUCGAAAUAUAGAAAGUUUGAAUACAACAAACACGAAUGUAGAAUGUAUUGUAAAUAGUAACGUAAUUAAUGUUAAUAAAAAAAAAAAUAAAGAUGAUUAUAAUGAAUAUAUUAAUAAUUGGAAUAUAAAUUCAAGGGGGGGAAAGUAUAGCUACGAUAGUACAACAAUUAUCAAUAAAGAAAAGAGUUUAGAUAAAAAUAUUUCAUUUACUUGUAAUAAUAAAAAAAGGAAUUAUAAAAUUAGGGAUAGAAAUGAAACAUCGUCUGACAUUAAUGUGGAAAAAGAGUUACAUUUGGAUGGAGAUAUUGAGUAUGAACAUACAAGUAACAUAUUAGCCUCAAUUUUGAAUAAAAAAGAAUAUACAAUUUUAAAAAAGUUAAAAAAGAGAAAAAAAAUAAAUAUGGGUAAAAAUCGAAAUGUUAGUAAUGGUAACAAUAUGGAUGAUAAUAUAGGUGAUAAUAUGGAUGAUAAUAUGGAUGAUAAUAUGGAUGAUAAUAUGGGUGAUAAUAUGGAUGAUAAUAUGGAUGAUAAUAUGGAUGAUAAAAAUACAAGUGAUAAUGUGUGUGGUAGUAAUAAUGCUUGCAGAAGUAACAAAAUUUAUAUUUAUUUUUAUGAGGGACAUUUACAAGAGGUUAUUGAAGAUAUAAGAGAAGAAGAUAUUAAUAAAUUAACAACUGAUGCAAUAGAAAAUAAAAAUAAAUGUUACAAUAUUUAUAAUAGUAUGAUUACAUUCAAUGAUUGUAUGGAUGAUCAUAAUAAAGAGGAUAAUUUUUUUUUAUGUAAAGAACAAAUAAAAAGAUCUCCAUCUUCUAGUAAUAGCAAAAUAGAUUGCGAGUUCGAAAAUUUGGAAAAUAAAAUUGAUAAAGAGGAAAUAGUAGGGGUAAAGGGAAAGGAAAAAAAAAAUAAAAAGAAUAAAAAAAAUAAAAUAAAUGAAAAGGGUGUUAGCGAAAAGGAUGUUAGCGAAAAAGAUGUUAGCGAAAAGGAUGNNNNNNNNNNUAGCGAAAAGGAUGUUAGCGAAAAAGAUGUUAGCGAAAAGGAUGUUAAAAAAAAAAAAAAUAAAAAAUUAAAAAAAAAAAAUUACAACUCAGAAUAUAUAAAACGUAGGAACUCUAACGAAUCAAAUUCAUAUAAAGGCAGAAAACAAUUUAAAACUCAAACUGAUACAAAUUAUGAACAAGAUAAUAGUCGUAGUAAUAAUAAUUAUGACAUGGGCUAUCACGGUAGGAGAUAUAACAACGAACAGUAUUACAAUAAUAAAUAUAAUAAUAAAAUGUAUUAUAAAAACUACUACGAUAAGGACUAUGAUAAGGACUAUGAUAAGGACUAUGAUAAGGACUACGAUAAGGACUAUGAUAAGGACUAUGAUAAGGACUACGAUAAGGACUACGAUAACAAGAGUUACUACAAUGAUGGUCAGCAAGACAAUUGUUAUAACGAGGAUGACCAUCACGACAAUAGUCAUUACGACAACAGCCAUCACGACAAUAAUUAUUACUACAAAAAUACAGAACAUACAAACGAAACUAGCGAUUAUAUGAAGAGGGAUAGUAAUGUAAGUAAUAGUAUUAAAAAAAAUAUGAAGGAAGUUGUUGAAAAUUGGCCUAAACAUUUAAGUUGGAAAAAAAUACCUGAAGAAACAAAAGAACGACUUUGUGUUGUAAUAAAAAAUAAACCCCCUCAGUGGAAUGAAUAUGAUUUAUUAACAUUUUUUGAAAAAUUAUUUGAUUAUAAAAAGAAUGUACCCAUAUUCGAGUAUAUACUUAUAACAAAAAGUUGUCCUACUAUAGCAACAGUUGCUUUUAAAAAUGAAUCAAUGAAAAAUAACUUUUUAAAACAUAAAUUAAUAAAUUUAUCUGAAUCAUUUGAAAAAAUAAAUAGUGGUGGGAAUGAUAAAAACAAUUUGUUCAUUUAUUAUAAUAGUAAAUAUAAAAACUUAAUACUACAAGAAUAUAUUAUAUCAUACAAUUUGCAACAUCCUAAUAUGUAUAAAAAUACAUAUUACAAAAAAAAUGAAUCAUCUUUUAACUGUCCUGUUCCUUAUAACAAAAAAAAUUAUUAUUAUUAUGAACAGUCAUCUAAUGCGCCAACAAAUUACAAAAAAAAAGAUUAUCCUGAUGUUAAUAGAAACAAAGGCAAUGUUAAAAAGAAGUUUAAAAAUUUGCAUUUAAAUAAUAAAAACUGAAAUUAUGCAUUAUUGUGAUAAAACACUAAUAUUGUAAAAAAAAAAAAAAAAAAAAAAAAAAGGUAAGCGCUACGUUCUUAAAUUUGUGUAAUUUUUUUAAUUAGUUAUUUGUUAUAAGUGUUGUUUUGGAAAGGGGAAAAAAACAAAAGUAAACUUGAGCGUAAAAAAAAAAAAAAAAAAAAAAAAAAAUUGAGGCAACAAAAUAAUGGUAACACUUGAGCAACACAAAAUAAUAUAAAAGACAUAUGCAAAUUAACAUAAUUAUAAACCUGGAUUGUUUAUUAUUUAUAUUUCGCAUGAUUUAUUACUAUUCUUUAUUAUCCUUUACUAUUUUUUAUUAUCCUUUAUCUAAUAAAUUAUACUAGCCGUAUUGUAUAUUAAUACGG